UUAACGCUGAGGUGUGAUGACGAGGCACUACGGUGCUGAAGUGAUAAAUGCCCUGCUUCCAGGAAAAGCCUCUAAGCAUCAGGUAACACGAAAUCGUACCCCAAACCGACACAGGUGGUCAGGUAGAGAAUACCAAGGCGCUUGAGAGAACUCGGGUGAAGGAACUAGGCAAAAUGGUGCCGUAACUUCGGGAGAAGGCACGCUGAUAUGUAGGUGAAGUCCCUGCGGACGGAGCUGAAAUCAGUCGAAGAUACCAGCUGGCUGCAACUGUUUAUUAAAAACACAGCACUGUGCAAACACGAAAGUGGACGUAUACGGUGUGACGCCUGCCCGGUGCCGGAAGGUUAAUUGAUGGGGUUAGCGGCAACGCGAAGCUCUUGAUCGAAGCCCCGGUAAACGGCGGCCGUAACUAUAACGGUCCUAAGGUAGCGAAAUUCCUUGUCGGGUAAGUUCCGACCUGCACGAAUGGCGUAAUGAUGGCCAGGCUGUCUCCACCCGAGACUCAGUGAAAUUGAACUCGCUGUGAAGAUGCAGUGUACCCGCGGCAAGACGGAAAGACCCCGUGAACCUUUACUAUAGCUUGACACUGAACACUGGUCCUUGAUGUGUAGGAUAGGUGGGAGGCUUUGAAGCGUGGACGCCAGUCUGCGUGGAGCCAACCUUGAAAUACCACCCUUUAAUGGCUGGUGUUCUAACGUAGACCCGUAAUCCGGGUUGCGGACAGUGUCUGGUGGGUAGUUUGACUGGGGCGGUCUCCUCCCAAAGAGUAACGGAGGAGCACGAAGGUUGGCUAAUCCUGGUCGGACAUCAGGAGGUUAGUGCAAUGGCAUAAGCCAGCUUGACUGCGAGCGUGACGGCGCGAGCAGGUGCGAAAGCAGGUCAUAGUGAUCCGGUGGUUCUGAAUGGAAGGGCCAUCGCUCAACGGAUAAAAGGUACUCCGGGGAUAACAGGCUGAUACCGCCCAAGAGUUCAUAUCGACGGCGGUGUUUGGCACCUCGAUGUCGGCUCAUCACAUCCUGGGGCUGAAGUAGGUCCCAAGGGUAUGGCUGUUCGCCAUUUAAAGUGGUACGCGAGCUGGGUUUAGAACGUCGUGAGACAGUUCGGUCCCUAUCUGCCGUGGGCGCUGGAGAAUUGAGGGGGGCUGCUCCUAGUACGAGAGGACCGGAGUGGACGCAUCACUGGUGUUCGGGUUGUCAUGCCAAUGGCACUGCCCGGUAGCUAAAUGCGGAAGAGAUAAGUGCUGAAAGCAUCUAAGCACGAAACUUGCCCCGAGAUGAGUUCUCCCUGAGACCUUGAGUCUCCUGAAGGAACGUUGAAGACGACGACGUUGAUAGGUCGGGUGUGUAAGCGCAGCGAUGCGUUGAGCUAACCGAUACUAAUGAACCGUGAGGCUUAACCUUACAACGCCGAAG
rnacentral:rRNA from 1 species